UGGCAAUGAGCUAGCUAAUUGUUCCAAAGGCCAACAUUAGCUGGUCUAUUGCCAGC
rnacentral:pre_miRNA from 1 species